GUGUAAAUGAUCUUGACUGUUUUGGCAAAUGUUUUAAUAAUAUCGUUAGUUCAAAGAAUCUGAAUAUCUUUUACAAUUGCCUUCGGGACCAAACCUCUACAACAGGAUCACAAGGAAUAAAACAGUUUCUCUGUGAAACUGCCACAGAUGAGCAGUUAAAAGAAUUUGAUAAAUGUAUAAACCCCGAGAAUCCUGAAUCAGUUAUUUUAUCUGUACAAUUUGAGUGUUGCAUUCAAAAUUGUUCCCGACUUCUCGUUUUUUUUUCCACUUGUCGAUAUUUGUCGUGUUAUAGGUUAACAUUUUGGAUUUUUGUUAAUUGCUUUUUCAGCAAAAUU